rnacentral:rRNA from 1 species
UACGAAGGGUGCAAGCGUUACUCGGAAUUACUGGGCGUAAAGCGUGCGUAGGUGGUUUGUUAAGUCUGAUGUGAAAUCCCCGGGCUCAACCCGGGAACUGCGUCCGAUACUGGCAGGCUUGAAUUCGGGAGAGGGAUGCGGAAUUCCAGGUGUAGCGGUGAAAUGCGUAGAUAUCUGGAGGAACACCGGUGGCGAAGGCGGCAUCCUGGACCGAGAUUGACGCUGAGGCGCGAAAGCCAGGGGAGCAAACGGG